rnacentral:rRNA from 1 species
UACGGAGGGUGCAAGCGUUAUCCGGAUUUACUGGGUUUAAAGGGUGUGUAGGCGGACUAUUAAGUCAGCGGUGAAAUCUCCGGGCUCAACCCGGAAACUGCCAUUGAUACUAUUAGUCUUGAAUGUUGUUGAGGUGGGCGGAACGGGUCAUGUAGCGGCGAAAUGCAUAGAUAUGACCCGGAACACCGAUUGCGAAGGCAGCCCACUAAGCAACGAUUGACGCUGAGGCACGAAAGCGUGGGGAUCAAACAGG